rnacentral:rRNA from 1 species
AGAAAUUCGAUUCCGUAAGUAGCGGCGAGCGAACGCGGAUUAGCCCAAACCAAUAAAGUUUUCUUUAUUGGGGUUGCGGACAUAUCAUAACGAAGAGGUAUCGUAAUUGAAGAGGUUUGGAAAGACCUACCACAGAAGGUAAUAGUCCUGUAUGUUAAACGAGAAGACUUUAGAUAUGAUCCAGAGUACCACGGGACACGUGAAACCCUGUGGGAAGCAGGAGGGACCACCCUCCAAGGCUAAAUACUACCUAGUGACCGAUAGCGUAUAGUACCGUGAGGGAAAGGUGAAAAGAACCCCGGGAGGGGAGUGAAAUAGAACCUGAAACCCUGCACUUACAAGCUGUGGAAGCACAUUUCUUGUGUGACCGCGUACUUUUUGUAGAACGGGCCAACGAGUUACGUUAAGUAGCAAGGUUAAGCACUUAAGGUGUGGAGCCGUAGCGAAAGCGAGUUUUAACUGAGCGUUCAGUUACUUGACGUAGACCCGAAACCGGGCGACCUACCCAUGAGCAGGAUGAAGCGAAAGUAAAAUUUCGUGGAGGUCCGAACCCACGAGCGUUGAAAAGCUCGGGGAUGACUUGUGGGUAGCGGUGAAAUUCCAAUCGAGCCCGGAGAUAGCUGGUUCUCCCCGAAAUAGCUUUAGGGCUAGCCUCAAGGUGAGAGAUACGGAGGUAGAGCACUGAAUGUCCUAGGGGGUAUUGCACCUACCGAAGACUAUCAAACUCCGAAUGCCGUCAUCUUAUACUUGGGAGUCAGACUGUGGGUGAUAAGAUUCAUAGUCGAAAGGGCAACAGCCCAGAUCGUCAGCUAAGGUCCCUAAAUGUAAGUUAAGUGGUAAAGGAUGUGGGAUUGCACAGACAACCAGGAUGUUGGCUUAGAAGCAGCCACUCAUUCAAAGAGUGCGUAAUAGCUCACUGGUCGAGUGAUCCUGCGCCGAAGAUUUCCGGGGCUAAAACUUACUACCGAAGCUACGGCAUCAGUAAUGAUGGGUAGGGGAGCUUCCCAUACGGGUUGAAGCAUGACCGUAAGGACAUGUGGACAGUAUGGGAGUGAGAAUGUUGGCAUGAGUAGCGAGAUGUGGGUGAGAAUCCCACAGGCCGUAAACCCAAGGU